CAGUAGCCACGGUAACACGUAGGGUGCGAGCGUUAAUCGGAAUUACUGGGCGUAAAGCGUGCGCAGGCGGUUGUGUAAGACAGGUGUGAAAUCCCCGGGCUUAACCUGGGAACUGCGCUUGUGACUGCACAGCUAGAGUAUGGCAGAGGGGGGUGAAUUCCACGUGUAGCAGUGAAAUGCGUAGAGAUGUGGAGGAACACCGAUGGCGAAGGCAGCCCCCUGGGCCAAUACUGACGCUCAUGCACGAAAGCGUGGGGAGCAAACAGGAUUAGAUACCCGUGUAGUCCCUGUCUCUUAUACA
rnacentral:rRNA from 1 species